rnacentral:pre_miRNA from 1 species
UAUUAAAAAUUUCAUCAAAAUCUACUGUAAAAAAAUAGCAUGGCUGAUAGAAUAACUAAACAAUUACACAUGGUAUGCCACAUGUACAUCUGACGUGACCAAAUUUUAACAAUAGAAAUGGAUAGAAAUUUUAACA